rnacentral:rRNA from 1 species
UACGGGGGGAGCAAGCGUUGUUCGGAUUUACUGGGCGUAAAGGGCGCGUAGGCGGUCAGCACAAGUCAGUUGUGAAAUCUCCGGGCUUAACUCGGAAAGGUCAACUGAUACUGUGCGACUAGAGUGCGGAAGGGGCAACUGGAAUUCUUGGUGUAGCGGUGAAAUGCGUAGAUAUCAAGAGGAACACCUGCGGCGAAGGCGGGUUGCUGGGCCGACACUGACGCUGAGGCGCGAGAGCCAGGGGAGCGAACGGG